rnacentral:misc_RNA from 1 species
AUAUCUCAACUGCUUCAUUGUUGAAGUGAAGUUGGAUUUGGAGGAUAAUUGCUGGCGCAUCGUCUCUGUUGAGUUUAUACGACUUGAUGGACCUGCUUGUUGGCUCCUCUUUAAUUGAUCGGCUUUCUUGUAGGCAAAGUAGCACCUAUGUGAUAAUAUAUAUACAUUGGUUGUGAAAAGCCCCUUACAAAAUGUUUGUAAAGGAAAAAUAUAAGAAAGAAAAGUCUUAUCGAACUGAUAA